CUAAGGAUUGGUCUGCGAUAACUACAGUCCUCCGCUCUACCAACUUUCUGAAUACUCGCCGUCAUUUUUGUAAUGUUUCCACCAUUUUUAACCUUCACAAUGUAGGUUAGUGCUUGGUUGAAAAACUCAAAUGAUACUAUUAAAGGGAACUGGAAGAGAAAUGAUAAAUAUUGGGGAGCAGUAACUACCAUGUUUAAUAGCACAACUCAAGUGAUCGAACUAGAGAAAUUAAGCAAUUGAAGGAACAAUGGCAUCGGGUGAAUAGGACUGUCAAUGUCUUUCAAGGCUCAUGGAUGAAAGCACAACGUCUUCGUGCCAGUGGAGAGAGAGUCUGAUGAGCAAGUAAUGGACAAAGCCAUGGCUUUCUAUGAAGCUGACUUUGAAGACGGUCAGUUCAAACUCAUGGCUUGUUGGAAGGUUCUACGAGAUCAACCGAAGUGGCGUGCCUACAAUGAGGACCUUAACAGUACAAACAAAAGAAAGAAUUCUGAGACAGAAACUGUGGACCUGACAUCCUCUACUGAUGUGGUGAAUGACCUGCCACGACCAGGAGGGUGUAAGAAAGCUAAGGAAGAACGCAGCGGGAAAGGACAGGGGAAGGCUUCUUCAUCUACCAUGGAUGAAAUUGACAAGUUGAGAGAAGUUCAGGCCAAAUCUAAGGAAGAUCGCAUUGAGGUGCUGGAGAGACACCAAAGAAUUGUUGCUGACAAGAAGGAAUCAGCAAGGCUGAAACAUCUUGCAGCCCAGGAGAAUAAGGAGGCAAAAUUACUUGAAAGGGAAGGGAAAAUGCAUGAUAAGGAAUCCAAAUUGCUGGAAACAUAUAAAACUCUUCUUACACUUGACACAAGUCUGAUGCCUGAGGACUUGAAAGCUGAGCAUAUGAUUGCUUUGAAGAGUAUGAGGGAGAAGAAUUUUUCCAAUCGAGCUUUAUGAUAUGAGGUUUAUUCAUCAUUGCUAGGAGCUUGGAGGAUUGCUUACUUUACUUUUUACUUAGGAGUUAAAAAUACAGUUCCACAUAUAUGGGUUCAACUUGCAGUCAUCAACUUUCAGUUCAUCUAGAGCCCAUGUGUCACAUCUCUUUUAUUUGUUUACAUAUGUAUUUGUUUAUCUGGACUAUUGAUUAUCAAAACUAUGUGCUAGUACUCUGAAUAGACGUGCGGCAAUAUAUUUAUUUUGGUUCA